rnacentral:misc_RNA from 1 species
GAUGAAGAACGUAGCGAAAUGCGGUAAGUAGUGUGAAUUGCAGAAUUCAGUGAAUCAUCGAAUCUUUGAACGCACAUUGCGCCCCUUGGUAUCCCGAGGGGCAUGCCUGUUCGAGCGUCAUUUCACCACUCAAGCCUGGCUUGGUGUUGGGCGACGUCCCCUUUAGGGACGCGCCUCGAAACGCUCGGCGGCGUGGCACCGGCUUUAAGCGUAGCAGAAUCUUUCGCUUUGGAAGUCGGGGCCCCGCCUGCCGGAAUACCUACUCGUAAGGUUGACCUCGGAUCAGGCAGGGAUACCCGCUGAACUUAAGCAUAUCAAUAAGCGGAGGA